AGCGAACGCUGGCGGCAGGCCUAACACAUGCAAGUCGAACGGAGUCUUCGGACUUAGUGGCGGACGGGUGAGUAACACGUGGGAACGUACCUUUAGGUUCGGAACAACUCAGGGAAACUUGAGCUAAUACCGGAUAAGCCCUUCGGGGGAAAGAUUUAUCGCCUUUAGAGCGGCCCGCGUUAGAUUAGCUAGUUGGUGAGGUAAAGGCUCACCAAGGCUACGAUCUAUAGCUGGUCUGAGAGGAUGAUCAGCCACACUGGGACUGAGACACGGCCCAGACUCCUACGGGAGGCAGCAGUGGGGAAUCUUGCGCAAUGGGCGAAAGCCUGACGCAGCCAUGCCGCGUGAAUGAUGAAGGUCUUAGGAUUGUAAAAUUCUUUUACCAGGGACGAUAAUGACGGUACCUGGAGAAAAAGCCCCGGCUAACUUCGUGCCAGCCGCCGCGGUAA
rnacentral:rRNA from 1 species